rnacentral:rRNA from 1 species
UACCAGCACCCCGAGUGGUCGGGGCGAUUAUUGGGCCUAAAGCGUCCGUAGCCGGUUUUACAAGUCCCCCGUUAAAUCCAGCUGCUUAACAGAUGGGCUGCGGAGGAUACUAUAAGACUAGGAGGCAGGAGAGGCAAGCGGUACUCAGUGGGUAGGGGUAAAAUCCGUUGAUCCAUUGAAGACCACCAGUGGCGAAGGCGGCUUGCCAGAAUGCGCUCGACGGUGAGGGAUGAAAGCUGGGGGAGCAAACCGG